CCGUGUAAAGUCAAUUUUGGCAUCGAAAAGUUAUCAAAACACCCUUUAAAAUAGCCAAAAAUUACUGAGGUGGAAAGACGCACAUUAGCUUAGUUUUAGGUUUAGUUUUCUCUAGUUUUCUUUAGUUUUUUUCUGCACUUUUCUGGGGUUUUUAUUUUUCUCUUCUUCUACCUUAGAUUAGAUUUUAUUUUUCUGUAUUUACUUCUUGUUCUUGAUGUUCUUUAUGUUAGUUAAGUUAGUUAACAUUGUAGCUGAGGUUUAUUUACAUUUUCAGUCCUUGUACAUUGCUUUAAAGACUCUUUAAGCUUUAGUUUAAUAUAUUUUAGUUUAUUUUACUUUAAAU
rnacentral:lncRNA from 1 species